ACGCUCUUCCAAUCUGGAGGACAAAACAACAAGAGAAAAGUGCCUGUCGUGGGAGAUUAGAGAUGAACCACCAGUAAGACACACAAGUGAAGAUCUCUAGCAAAUGGUGGGAAAUGCAGGUGCAAAACAUAGACGUUUGCAGAGAAGUCAAGCUUUGUGCAGGGGACAACAGAACAAAUAAGAGAAGUUGAAAGAAAAUAUUAGGGGACCACAGCACGAGGACAGCUGCACUGGAAGAUGCCAUAAAAGGACAAUUUAAAAACAGUGCUCAGAGAGGUGGAAUAAACAAAAAUUAGAGUCAUAAAGAAGGGAU